GAAAAACUGCAUCCGCUCCCAGCUUUUUUUCGUUAUUCGCGUUUCGGGGUUAGGGAUGUGAAGUGACAUCGCAUAUAUUUGUCAAAAAAUCAGUCUCAUUUCAGUUUCUAAGACAAAAAUUCAUGAAUCUAGUAAGCUUAUACAGAUUUGUUGCGAGUGCAGUUUUUCAUUGUGAGUGACAAGUCUGAAACUGAGUUUUCUGUGAUGAUUUCGAGAAUCGUAUUUCUGGCGGGAAGUUGUUAGGAAUCUGAUAAUUCGGAAUUUGUUUAGGAAAAUUGUUUUGCCAUAUUUUGAUAUAUCUGAUCGUACAUUUCUACUCUUUAGUUUGAAUUUGAGUCUGAAGAAUAGGAAGCUGAGUGCAGGUGCCAUUGUCGAAUCUGUGAAGUAUUAAGUUAAAACGGCAUGGCAGACAGGCAGCAUGCAUGGAUCACAUGGGUUUUAUAUUUAGAGACUGCGCAUGCGUUAAUGUGAGUACUGAUUUAUUGCCGUCUGGGUAUUUCCAGCUGCAGGUGAAAAC